AAUGUCAAGAGGUGAGCAGCUAGACGGGCCAGAGAAGCGCAGGGUCACCGGAUUCUUCUGGAAGCCACAGCUGUUACUAGAGUUGACAGAGGACGCGCCACAGCCCUAACCCUCACCUGUCACACUUGGUCCAAAGUGUGUUCCAUAGAGGGCCCUGGAUCCUCUGGGACCGAGUACCAGAUGAGGCAAUGGUGAAAAGAUUUCUCUCAUUUGAGCUGCGCAAGCUAAGCUGUGCUCUGCACCUACCAAGGCAUUCUGGGGUCUUGGAUACCUGAAUCUUCAAGGUUCUGUGGAAAAGUUUCCCAGAACUCCCUACUGCCAGGUCCCCCACUCUGGACGGCCAGCCCUGCCUGUCCUCAGAGACCAUAUCUCACAGCUUCACUGGACUAGAGCCCCCUUCCCAGGAGAUCCUUGUGCAGAGGGCGGGUGUGGAAGAAUAAAUGUGGGUUGGUGCAUAAUCAGA